rnacentral:rRNA from 1 species
GAUGAACGCUAGCUACAGGCUUAACACAUGCAAGUCGAGGGGAAACGGCAUCGAAAGCUUGCUUUUGAUGGGCGUCGACCGGCGCACGGGUGAGUAACGCGUAUCCAACCUGCCCAUCACUUGGGAAUAACCUUGCGAAAGUAAGACUAAUGCCCAAUGACAUCCCACGAAGGCAUCCGAAUGGGAUUAAAGAUUUAUCGGUGAUGGAUGGGGAUGCGUCUGAUUAGCUUGUUGGCGGGGUGACGGCCCACCAAGGCAACGAUCAGUAGGGGUUCUGAGAGGAAGGUCCCCCACAUUGGAACUGAGACACGGUCCAAACUCCUACGGGAGGCAGCAGUGAGGAAGAUUGGUCGAUGGGCGAGAGCCUGAACCAGCCAAGUAGCGUGCAGGAUGACGGCCCUAUGGGUUGUAAACUGCUUUUAUAAGGGAAUAAAGUGGGUCACGUGUGACUUUUUGCAUGUACCUUAUGAAUAAGGACCGGCUAAUUCCGUG